UCCCGGACUGAUAACUAGAUUGUUUGUCGGUAGAUUUCAUAUCUAUUAAUUCCGUCCCUUACAGUCCUUUAAGUGUCCGGGAUAAUGACUCCCAUGUGGGAAUGCUUCUUACACGAUAUGAAUGCCAUCCUACAUUUAUUUUAUCGUUUACUUUCCCUCAACAAUU
rnacentral:snoRNA from 1 species